rnacentral:rRNA from 1 species
UACAGAGGUCCCAAGCGUUGUUCGGAUUCAUUGGGCGUAAAGGGUGCGUAGGCGGCGCGGUAAGUCGGGUGUGAAAUCUCGGAGCUUAACUCCGAAACUGCAUUCGAUACUGCCGUGCUGGAGGACUGGAGAGGAGACUGGAAUUUACGGUGUAGCGGUGAAAUGCGUAGAUAUCGUAAGGAAGACCAGCGGCGAAGGCGGGUCUCUGGACAGUUCCUGACGCUGAGGCACGAAGGCCAGGGGAGCAAACGGG